AGGCCAUGGAAGCAUUUUAUUUGAAGAGGAGGAGGUAACUUCCUUUCUGGCAUCCAGGUUGAAUGUAACCUGAAGAGUCUUCUAAAUAAUGGUCGAGGGCGACAAAUGGUGCUGAGACCCGGGAAAUAUUAAGAAAAAUAGAAAAACCUUGCAAGGGAGAAGUCCGC
rnacentral:lncRNA from 1 species